GGAUCCGUGGCACAAUGGUAGCGCAUCUGACUCCAGAUCAGAAGGUUUCGUGUUCGAUUCACAUCGGGUUCA
rfam:Picea glauca, whole genome shotgun sequence.